AGGAUAGGUGGGAGGCUAUGAAGACGUGACGCCAGUUGCGUUGGAGCCGUCCUUGAAAUACCACCCUUGUAUGUUUGAUGUUCUAACUUAGACCCAUUAUCUGGGUUGAGGACAGUGCCUGGUGGGUAGUUUGACUGGGGCGGUCUCCUCCCAAAGAGUAACGGAGGAGCACGAAGGUGGGCUAAUCACGGUUGGACAUCGUGAGGUUAGUGCAAUGGCAUAAGCCCGCUUAACUGCGAGAAUGACGGUUCGAGCAGGUGCGAAAGCAGGUCAUAGUGAUCCGGUGGUUCUGUAUGGAAGGGCCAUCGCUCAACGGAUAAAAGGUACUCCGGGGAUAACAGGCUGAUACCGCCCAAGAGUUCAUAUCGACGGCGGUGUUUGGCACCUCGAUGUCGGCUCAUCACAUCCUGGGGCUGAAGUCGGUCCCAAGGGUAUGGCUGUUCGCCAUUUAAAGUGGUACGCGAGCUGGGUUUAGAACGUCGUGAGACAGUUCGGUCCCUAUCUGCCGUGGGCGUUGGAAGAUUGAAGGGGGCUGCUCCUAGUACGAGAGGACCGGAGUGGACGAACCUCUGGUGUUCGGGUUGUGUCGCCAGACGCAUUGCCCGGUAGCUAAGUUCGGAAUUGAUAAGCGCUGAAAGCAUCUAAGCGCGAAGCGAGCCCUGAGAUGAGUCUUCCCUGACAGUUUAACUGUCCUAAAGGGUUGUUCGAGACUAGAACGUUGAUAGGCAGGGUGUGUAAGCGUUGUGAGGCGUUGAGCUAACCUGUACUAAUUGCCCGUGAGGCUUAACCAU
rnacentral:rRNA from 1 species